rnacentral:pre_miRNA from 1 species
UUAAUUCAAAUUUGUAUGGAGUUUGAACGUUUGCAUACGUUUGCCAUUAGGGACGUUGUUCUAACUGCAUACUAGUUUGAGUUA